rnacentral:lncRNA from 1 species
AAAAUAAUGUUGCAAUGGAGCGGUCAUAUCGUGAUGUGCCUGAGUAGUCUUUAUAGGCCCAUUGAUGUCAUCAAGUAACAGAUACUGAAACAAAUCAUUAACAGUAAAAGCACAUCGGGUCAAAUCAGACCGGGCCGGAUCAAUGACCCGACCCAUAAAGCGCUCCACAUCCUGAAUUGUGACCCGUUCUUCUCCCUGAAACUCAAUCAAGAAGCGCAAAAAACCAUCGGGCAACAUCUCCUUUUCAUCUUUUGAAUACAAUUUGAAAACAUCGAUGACGUCAUCCGGUGGGCCCAAUUCGUU